rnacentral:tRNA from 1 species
CGCGGAGUAGAGAAGCGGUAUCUCGUCGGGCUCAUAACCCGAAGAUCACAGGUUCAAUUCCUGUCUCCGCAACCA